GAUGAACGCUGGCGGCGUGCCUAAUACAUGCAAGUCGAGCGGAAAGGCCCCUUCGGGGGUACUCGAGCGGCGGACGGCUGAGUAACGUGUAGGAACGUACCCCAAACUGAGGGAUAAGCACCAGAAAUGGUGUCUAAUACCGCAUGUGCUCUACGGAGUAAAGCUUCGGCGGUUUGGGAACGGCCUGCAUAUGAUUAGCUUGUUGGUAAGGUAAUGGCUUACCAAGGCGACGAUCAUUAGCUGGUCUGAGAGGAUGAUCAGCCAGACUGGGACUGAGACACGGCCCAGACUCCUACGGGAGGCAGCAGUAGGGAAUUUUCCACAAUGGGCGAAAGCCUGAUGGAGCAACGCCGCGUGCAGGAUGAAUGCCUUCGGGUUGUAAACUGCUUUUAUAUGUGACGAAUAUGACGGUAGCAUAUGAAUAAGGAUCGGCUAACUCCGUGCCAGCCGCCGCCGUAAAAC
rnacentral:rRNA from 1 species